AAUGUGCCUUCGGGAACCGUGAGACAGGUGCUGCAUGGCUGUCGUCAGCUCGUGUUGUGAAAUGUUGGGUUAAGUCCCGCAACGAGCGCAACCCUUAUCCUUUGUUGCCAGCGGUCCGGCCGGGAACUCAAAGGAGACUGCCAGUGAUAAACUGGAGGAAGGUGGGGAUGACGUCAAGUCAUCAUGGCCCUUACGACCAGGGCUACACACGUGCUACAAUGGCGCAUACAAAGAGAAGCGACCUCGCGAGAGCAAGCGGACCUCAUAAAGUGCGUCGUAGUCCGGAUUGGAGUCUGCAACUCGACUCCAUGAAGUCGGAAUCGCUAGUAAUCGUGGAUCAGAAUGCCACGGUGAAUACGUUCCCGGGCCUUGUACACACCGCCCGUCACACCAUGGGAGUGGGUUGCAAAAGAAGUAGGUAGCUUAACCUUCGGGAGGGC
rnacentral:rRNA from 1 species